GUUUGUACUUGGUCUGGACAUUGUAAUGACCGUGGAACUUGCGUUCCAAUAUCUACCAAUUCCGACUACUCGUGCAGCAACUGCGCUUCUGGUUGGAAAGGAAAAAGUUGCCAUCUUGUUGAUUGUGGCAGUGGACAAUACUGCGCCAACGAUGGUGUUUGUGAGGAAAAUGGAACGGACUACACGUGUGUGUGCAAGGAUGGCUGGUCCGGAAAAGAUUGUGAACUCGUCGUCUGUUCUUGGUACGGACACUGUAACUACCGUGGAACGUGUUCACCAACAUCUACUUCAACCGACUACGUGUGUAACAAUUGCGUUUCGGGAUGGAAAGGGAAAAGUUGUCAUCUUGUUGACUGCAGCAGUGGACACUAUUGCGCAAAUGGCGGUGUUUGUGUGGAAAAUGGAAUAGAAUACACAUGUUUAUGCAAGGAUGGGUGGAGCGGAAAGGACUGCGAACUCGUUGUCUGUAACUGGUCAGGACACUGCAACAGCCG